UACGUAGGUCCCGAGCGUUGUCCGGAUUUAUUGGGCGUAAAGCGAGCGCAGGUGGUUUAUUAAGUCUGGUGUAAAAGGCAGUGGCUCAACCAUUGUAUGCAUUGGAAACUGGUAGACUUGAGUGCAGGAGAGGAGAGUGGAAUUCCAUGUGUAGCGGUGAAAUGCGUAGAUAUAUGGAGGAACACCGGUGGCGAAAGCGGCUCUCUGGCCUGUAACUGACACUGAGGCACGAAAGCGUGGGUAGCAAACAGG
rnacentral:rRNA from 1 species